rnacentral:lncRNA from 1 species
CUUCCCAUAAAAGAUUAUUUAUUCAUCAAUCUAUAUAUACAAAAAAAGUUUUAAAACGUUUUUUAUGGAUAAUGCACAUCCAUUGACAUCACCUAUAGUUGUUCGUUCAUUUGAUACGAGAAAAGAUCCAAUUCGUUCACUUGAAGAUGGAAAAAAUAUUCUUGAUCCUAAAGUAUCAUAUUUAAGUGCAAUUGGAGCACUAACUUAUCUUGUAUACUACACUCAAUGCAAUAGAGCUUUCCUGUAUAGUACGACAUACACUUUGUAAAUGAAAUUCAUUGUUCAAUUCAAUCUUAAUCACAUUUCCUAGAUGUCAUUGUGCCUUUGUGAUAUUAUUUUAGGAAGGGAGGUUUUCAUGUACACAUGAACUAAGGUACAUUUUUUAUAUUUUAGUCAUAGAAAUUUAUAACUGUGAAACCACAUAGACUGAUCCGAAUAUGGGAUAUACAUAGAAUUAAAAUAAGCAUAUCCCGGAUGAAAUAAUGUAAAAUGCUCGUGGAUAGAUCAGCUUCAUAACCUCAUAGUUGAUGAAUGACCUAAAAUAGCAGUAACGAAAUGCAAAAAGAGGGAGUAAUGCUUUCUGUAGAAAAGAAUAUAUCUAUAGAAUGGAAGAUAUAUAUGUAACGCAUCCAAGUUAAGUCAAAUAAUUGAGAGGAGAUAUUAAUGUUUUAAACUAAUUUGAAUAACGAAGCAGCUUGUAGCAAGUUGGACAAUUACAACGAACAAUAGCAGCUGAAUUUUAAACCAAUUUGUACAUGCAAAAUAUAUUCUCCUUUCCACAAGUGAAUACAAAAUAGUCAAUAUAUGCAUUUUGUGUGUACAUGGCUACUGUAAGGUAAUCACGACACAAUACAAGCACGAAAGAGUUAAAUUAAAUGAUACCUAAAAAGGAAGAAAUAUAGAAAGAAGUCGAGACUCUGACAAAAGCAAAUGGAGAAAUCUUCGAAUGAUGAGAAAUCACAUAACAAAUAUCCAAUAGCAUGAUGUAUAAUCAUCUCAGAAAAAUUGAAACAAUUACCAAAAGUAUGUUAGACCUCUUGCGACACCUUCAAAAUCUAUAUCGAACAACAUAUGAUGCUUGGAGAAGGAAAAAGUUUUUGUGUCGAUGAGGCUUCUGCAACCAUAUGCCAUGAUGUUAUUCUAUAUAUCAUAGAAACAAAUUGGAAAUGAACUGCAAAGAAUAGUAAAAGAAUUGUUCCAAAUACCCGAUGAAGCCGAAGAGCUUAAAAGGAUAAAUUUUUUCACUAAAAGGCAUGUCUCUUUUGCUAAGUGAAAUUCCAAAUGGACAACGAUUUUGACAAAUCUGGAAAUGCUUGUGUUGCUAGAAAACCAAACAAAAAACCAUCAUGUGUAGGGUAUCUGUUCCAAGUAAAAUUUUGCAUCUAACAAUUUCAUUAGUGAAAUGGGUUUACUAUCAAUAGGAAUUGAAUCUUACUCACCUACUCAGACAUAUAUUGGUUUGAGAAGAUAACGCAAUGCAACCAUGUCUAACUUUAUAGGGUAUCAAUCAGAAAUCAAUAUUUUCCACAUGACAGGGCAUAAAAAAUAAUGCAAGGAUGCACGACCAAGAUUUAUAGUAACAGUAAUAUGGAGGAUGUUUAGAGCUUCCUUCUGCAUUUUCUGCAGAUUUCCCUUGGUCAGAUAAAUAUAAGAAUUUGUGGUAUCAUAUUAGCACGAGUAUAAAGUUCAGUAAUCAAAUAUUUUAAUAAAAAUAAACAUCCGUCGACCAGUUUUUUUGUUGCUGCUUCAAUUUGGUGAAAAUGAUCCUAAUUGAAUCCUAGAUGUCUAUAAAUUCAUCAUAAUAGAAACCUUGUAAAUCAUACAUCCAGUCGAACAUGAGUUAAUAUGACAAAUGUAGAAAAAUGUAAGCCAACUAAAUUAUACAAGCUAUUGAAAUCAAAUUUUCAAUUAAUGUGAAUCGGUAAAAAGAAGUCACUCGUCCAAUAAAGAAUAUCCUAAAUUUCCAUUUACAAAGUAAAGAAACUAGAUUGAGAGAGAUCUAUUCCAAUUUGGAAGGCAGAUAUAGGUUUUGGGUAGUAGUGGAUUACAAGUUACAGUUGAAUAUUUACACUGUCGCUUUGAGGACUAUAUAAUUUUUCAUUGUGCUUAACACAUUAAAACCUUAGAUAUUGGAAUCAAUUAAGCUUGUGCAUAAUUAAAUGGAGAAUAAUUUAUAGUAAGAAAAGGCAACAGAAGCAUAAAGAUAACAACAUACCUACAACUAAAACUGCAAGGAAGAAAGAGAAGAAAUUAUACAGCAGAGCAAAGAUUGAAGAAAAAAUGAAGCUUCUUAGCGAGAUAACAUGAAAUUUUGGAAGUUAAAAGUACAAACACCAACAGAAGUAUAAGGCAUUCCAACUGAGCUAAAAAAUCUCCUGAAAUACUAAUAAGAACCUGUUGUACUUCUAGUGUGAAAACACCAGAAGUAGAAACUGAGCAGAAAAACACACAUUGAGCAAAAAUAAAAGCUUCUGAAGUAAAUCAAGGUGAAUGUAGAAGAAAUCAACAAAAUUUUCACAUAUUAGAUAGAAAGAAGAUAAAAGGCGUUAAAUAAAGCUGAGGAAACUAACAAACAAAUCCCUAAAUAAGCAAAAAGUGUAGCAAAAUCUGAAUCUUCUCAACUAAGUCAAGCUAAACUGAAGAAAAACCAGCUGAAAAUAUGAACAACGAUACUGUAAAUCAAGAUACAAAAUUGGAAUAGAGUUGAACACCACAAAAAUCGACGAAAUAGAAAACAUUAAAUAUAACAUUUAGCUUCUGAAGUAGAUCAAAGUCACUCAAGAGUAAUCAAAUAUAUUUUUCACAUAUAAGACACCAAAGAAGAAAAAUAAAUUAAGUAAAAUUGAACAAAAGAUGAAAAAAUCCACAAAAAAGCAAAACUGUAACAAAAAAUUCGAAGUUUCUCAAGUAGAUCCAGCUAAACUAGGGAAAAAGCAACGAAAAACAAGUAGAUGACAUACCGUAGAACGAGAGACAGAGUCGAAGAGAGUCGAACGCAGGAGGAAAUGAUUGUGAAAGAGUCUAAAUGAUUUCUAUCGCGUGAUAUUUUUAUCAUGAAUACGGGUCGUUUCCACAAUAGACAUGAACAAUAUGAAACCAAAUACGUAGUAGUAGCCGAACUGGUUCCAGUGUGAAAU